rnacentral:tRNA from 1 species
UCUAAAAUGGCAGAAUAGUGCUAUGGGGUUAAGUUCCAUGAAUGAAAUUUAAUUUCUUUUAGAA